rnacentral:lncRNA from 1 species
CCAAUUUUCUCAGAACGCAACAUAAGAAAAAAAAAAAAAAAAACUAACAGCAGUGUGUGCAGGAGAGCUUCGAAGAUAUGGGUGCUGAUGUUUGGUCACUGCUAUGGGGGAGGUCGUAGAGCUGAGAGUUGUCGGAGGACGUUUUCUGUCCUGUCUAGCUGUUCAACCCAGGGUCCAGACUUUUCAAGGGCUACACUAUGGUAGUCCGAACUACUCACUGCUGACACUUGGCACCUAGUCUUCAUUCUGGGACCCCAGAGACAUU